rnacentral:lncRNA from 1 species
CCUGCAUUGUGCGGUAGGACAGAUGUCUUCAAUUGCUGUGACAGUGCUCACCUUGGAUGAGUCAGAGUUCAGCUUCAUUGAGAGUAUCCUGGAAGCUUGUAUAUGUGGAAAUAGAAUGCAAUGUAAGUGAUCUAUUAACACACAGUUCAGAGCUGCCAGAGUCUGCAUUUGGUUGGGCAAUUCAUAACGAGAGGUGUUUGCUGUGGAUCAAUAGAUCACCAGGAAAUAUCUGAACCAAUGGAAGACCUGAAAAUUCAAAUAGAAAAAUCUAAUUUCAGCGUUAUAUUACUAGGAAGUAUUUGAACAGAUUCUCUUGCCCAGUAGUUUUAUUGAUUAGACUUUGGAAGAAAGUUGGGUUUAGGAAUGAAUUUGGCAUUCAGUAUCCCCUCAGUAAAGUUUUCCUUCCACUUUAUUAGAGUUUUAAUUGGAGAAAAAAAGACUAACCAUAGGUCAGCAAAUAAAAAAUCUCAUGCUUAAAUGGGCUACCUUGUUAUUGGAAUUUCAAACGUGUUCAUUUUUCAUUACUGUUGCCAGUAGAGAAUUAUAUAAAAUUAAUCAUAGCGAUCAGAUCGCAGUGAGCCCCUUUGUCCCGAUAAAGCUGAUACACUAUGAUUGAUGAGUCAGGUACUGGGGGAUUUACUUGGCGAUGUACACACUGAUUAGCUAAUAGCUGUGCUGCCAGAAUACAGGCC